GAGUAGCUUGCGAUUAAAAGUACUUUAUUAGCUCAAAUACACCAAAGAAGAGGCUAUCACUUAUUAACAAAUACACAGAAGACAGGAAACACAAAAGAAAAGAAAAUGGUAAGAUUAGACAAAGAGGAACAGUCAGAUAAAGUCCAUGUACACGUGUGUAACGGAAGAGGCACGUCCUUCGGUUUCGACAUUCCUUCCCGAUAGGAUUUGUGUGUGUGUGUGUGUGUUGUUUUUUGGGUGAAUACAGGAGGAAAGAAUGUCAGCUUGUGCACUUGUAUAAAAUGUUACCGUUUUUCACAUGCCUGGCAUUGCCAUGUUUUUUCCAGUGAUACUGUAAGAGAGAAAGCUAGUCACUUGCUUGUUUUUUUA